rnacentral:rRNA from 1 species
UGCAAGUCGAGCGGAAAGGCCCUUCGGGGUACUCGAGCGGCGAACGGGUGAGUAACACGUGAGCAACCUGCCCUAGGCUUUGGGAUAACCCUCGGAAACGGGGGCUAAUACCGAAUAGGACCACCGGUCGCAUGGUUGGUGGUGGAAAGUUUUUCGGCCUGGGAUGGGCUCGCGGCCUAUCAGCUUGUUGGUGGGGUGAUGGCCUACCAAGGCGACGACGGGUAGCCGGCCUGAGAGGGCGACCGGCCACACUGGGACUGAGACACGGCCCAGACUCCUACGGGAGGCAGCAGUGGGGAAUAUUGCACAAUGGGCGGAAGCCUGAUGCAGCGACGCCGCGUGAGGGAUGACGGCCUUCGGGUUGUAAACCUCUUUCAGCAGGGACGAAGCGUAAGUGACGGUACCUGCAGAAGAAGCACCGGCCAACUACGUGCCAGCAGCCGCGGUAAGACGUAGGGUGCGAGCGUUGUCCGGAUUUAUUGGGCGUAAAGAGCUCGUAGGCGGCUUGUCGCGUCGACCGUGAAAACUUGGGGCUCAACUCCAAGCCUGCGGUCGAUACGGGCAGGCUAGAGUUCGGUAGGGGAGACUGGAAUUCCUGGU